rnacentral:lncRNA from 1 species
AAGAGUAAAGUACUUCCGCUUCCUUAGGUGGAGCUGGAAAGGUGGAGGCGGAAGUGACUGAUCAAUUCAGGGGCGUGGGGUUCGUUUAGGUUUUGCCCUGUGUAUGACCUCGUUUGGAGCCAUGAAACCAGCCUCAAGCUUUAUUCUAGGAAGGUAAUUCUGAAGAUACCUAUCUUCUUGAGAGUGAAAUUUUAUGGAAUCCUAGAUUUCUCAUACCUAGGAAUAACAAUACAAGGGACAGAAUAGUUAGCAGUGUUCCUGUUGAAAGGUCCAAGUAUCUCCCUAGGCACAGAAAACACCCAAAUGAGCAAAGCAGACCUUGGUGGCCAGAGGGGAGCCCUCAGGUAGAGCUGCAGAUGCUGGCAGUUUGUGUUAGAAGGUUCCGGGGCUAAACAGAUGCCUAGAAUUAGCCACCAAAAGGUAAAUUGUAGACUCCACUCUUCAAGAAGCAGCAGAAGGAUUAGGAAUUCAAACAGUGCUAUUUUACGGUCAUAAGAACAGACAGUAUUUUUUUGGCGCAGCAAGAACUUCUUAGGCCAUAAAGCAUGACAGACCUCUUUUCCUUAUGCGCUGAAUUGAAGAAGUGCUGACUCUUUUGCUGAUGGAAGCUCUUCCACGAGUUCACGAAUGGAAAUAACAUCAAGAGUUUUUCAUCUUCUUAGUGUGCAAGGUAUGGAUAUUCUGUGUGUGAACUUCAAGAGUAUCUAAGGGAGGCAAUAACAUGGUUGAUAAUAUACCAGAGACUACAAACUGUCUGUGCAUCCCAGAGGAACAGGAAGCUUGUGCAGGUGAAAAGACUGGAGGAGGAAGUAUGUUGAUGAUACCCAGGAAGCCCACCUUCCACUUCUUUGGUCAUCAGAAGUAAGAAAAAGGACAAUUAAAUAAGUGGUUAAUAGUUGUUUAGAGAAAGAGAAUUUUCACUUUAUAUGCCAGUCAUUGAUAAUAUUUGCCAUAGUGGUUGCUGUUAAGUAAGUUUCUUCCUGCAGGCCUGUGAGAAGGCAUAGUACAUGAAAGUAGCAGUGCUUUCAACCUGAUUAUUAUUAUACAGUAUGGACUUUUAUUAUAUAACAAGCAAUACUUACAUUUUGUUAUUUACUUAUUUAUUACUAUACACUUACACAUAUGCAGACACAGUAAUAAACAUCUAAGUGGUACAAAUAGGUACAAAACCAAAAAUAAAAGUCUGCCUUCUAACUUC